UUUUCAAAGCUUGUUCCUUUCAGAGCUAAUUUGAAAUAUCGAACAAUAAACAAGAAUGUAGACACAGAAAUUUAUUUCUGUUUUCUUUUGUUGUUAAUAGCUGUCCUUUAAAAUUUUUAAAUUCUGUUUCUGGGCACUUCUACAAAGCCACAGUUGUUACUUCCCAAGUCUUGAGGGCCACUCUGCAAAGGUCCACCAUCAUCCCACAGCAGCUGUUGCAAGAACGCAGAAUAACCAAAGAGCCCUCUCUCCAGGUAUCCAAUACAGGAGUGCCAAGUCAGCCUCCAGCCUUCAGGCCCGCUUCCUAUUCUGUUGAUUUUGCAGCAAAAAAAGAAACAAAAAUCAUGGAAGAUGUUAGCUGCCAAGCUGCCAAAUAGCCUAAUGGAAAGACUGGGGUGCUACAGCAGCACAGGAACUGGGAAUGCCAGAAGUCAGUGAUGGGAGAUCGCAGUAUGCCAUGGCUAACUUCCUUCUCUGCAACAGCAAGACUUUGGUUCGCAGGAGUUGAAAAUAAAAGACAAGACAUUCAAAGAGCCCCCAACACAUCAACUAACCCCCCCAACACAUUUUUUAAAAAAAAAAUCCCAAACCAUCCAGUUAAAACAAAGAAGACCAAGAAAAAAAAAUGUACAAAAAAAGUUUAGAAACAAAAAAAAUUAAAAAGUGUUUUGAGAAGCCAUUUUUAAAGCUCUCCAGACUUCCGGGAGAACAAUUACAGGAUCUUCUGAUCUUGCCCUCCCACUUCGGUCAAUUUGGUUUGUUUAUUUAUUUAUUUAUCUGUCUCUUUGCCGUUUAUAAAAUCUUGGCUUCUCAACACAACUUUCCAUGAGGUAUUUUUUUCAGGACAGAGAAAGAUGGUUGAGCCAUUUUGUCUUAACCAGAGAAAGUAAAGAUUUCCCCUUUAUUCCCACAUAUUUUCAUCCUUUCUUCUUCAAUUACAGUUCUUUGUGGUUCUUUCUUUUA